rnacentral:lncRNA from 1 species
UGCCAAUCUGACCUUGCUGGUUAUUAUAAUUGCAACCUCUGGCUACAUACCUAGGAGUAGAAUUGGAAGCUGUCAGGGCUUAAAAAAAAAACUAACUUGUGGUGGAACUCCCCAGAAAAAGGACCAUGUACUGCCUUUCACGGAGUCAUUACAUCUCAUUAGAUAAGAGAUUAAGCUCUGGAAUGAGACUGCCUUGCUCACAUUCUGCCUCUGCUUUUAAUAGCUGUGUGACCCUGGAUAUUUAUCAAGUGUCUUCUACGUGAUAAAGCUGGAAAUGGGAGUUCACAGUGUAGCAGCAAAGAAGGAGACAACAUCUAACUGUAUGUAUGAAGUGCUACUAAGACAUAAGACAAACCCUGGAACCAAGGAGCGAGCAAUUAACCUGUGCAGUAAAUUCAAGGAAGACUCUUGGCCUUUGAAGAAUGAGUAUGAUUUUGAAUAGGGG